ACAAAUACUCUGAUUAUGAAAUGACAAUGAUCCCACCUCAAACACUGUCAGUGAUUUCUAUACACAACAGAGUGACCUAGUACUGGACACCUGGCAAACUGACCCCAAGCUAAGGAAGAACGGUUAUGGAGCAGGUUUUGGUUUGAAGACGAAUAUGAAAUGAAGAUUCAAUUAUUGCCCAUCCCCUUAAAAAUAGAAAAAGAUAAGCAGUUUGUGU